AGCUUUGUGCAGUGGCAAUAUUGUAGCCAAUGAGUUUUAUCUGAGGCAUGAUUAUUGCUAAUUGAAAAAAGCAUAUAUAUAUAUAUAUACAUAUAUACAUAUAUACACACAC
rnacentral:snRNA from 1 species